ACUUUAAGACUACAAAUACCAUCCUCAGACCCUGUCCUUGGUGUAGAGCAGGAGGAGUGGGAAAUAAACUCAGAUUCUCUGUAUGGAAAAAAGGAACUGGUGCACAUAUCUAACACCUCAACCUCUCCAGCUGCAAUCCAAAGGACUGGCUUCUGUCCCACCUCUCUCAAGAUCACAGAAAUGGCACCUGGAAAUUUCCAGAAUUGGCCUUAUACCUUCCAGGAGUAGCAAAGCCUUGCAGAUGGGUCACCACAGCAUGAGACUUCCCUUCCUACAACCCAAAAUAGAAAGAAUCAUCUCACGAGAAACUGAAUUACCCACUGCCAGGAUCACAGGUCUGAUAGAUAGAUAUCCAAGCAACAAAUGGAUGCCCCUGAAGUGAUAAGGAGUUCUCCAGAGCCACCUCAUAGAAUCAGAAAUGAGAAUCAGACUUCAGUUUAUCCAAGAAUAUUUAAUUAUUGAUACCUCUCACCUCCUGCCCCAGUUCUUUCUCUAUUUAAACCUAAAGCUCAUGUUGGUACUCCCACAUCAGGACUGAGAUACUUGAUCCUAUUUUUCUUCCCAAUAUAGCUCUAUCAAUUAAAAUUCCUUUCUUGCUUUUUAC